rnacentral:misc_RNA from 1 species
GUUUUAUAUUAUUUAAAUUAUAAGUUCAAAAGUUUUAUAUUAUUUUAAGUAAAGAUAAGAGGUUUUGUAAUAAAGCUUUACCCAUUUAAUAAGUAAUUAUAACAAUUCACCUUGUCAUUGCAAUCUCAUAAAAAAAACACUUGAUUGCUUAUGCAAACAGAAGACAUGAGCCUGGCAUGAAUCUACUACUAGUCAAUUUGUUAUCUGGCCGUAACAAGACAAAGACACGAGUCUCAAACAAGAAGCUCGUCCUCAUGCACGAUGAAUUUCUUCACCGCAAUGCUCCUAACAAGAUGAUAGAUUAUUAUCAGUUUCCUUCUGGAAAGUAACAAAAGCGACUCAAUGUUCCUCAUAUGGGGCAGCAGGUAGAUCAAUAAUUAUCCUGAGCUGCCUCAAUCCCUAUAUCCAACAGACAAAUCCUUGCUUAAGGUUAAUUAAAUGUCAACUGAAUGUGAGACCAAAAUGAGUUCCAGUUGAUCAAAAUGGGUAGGAAUUGUCAGAUCCAUACUUGCUUCUCAUAUUGUAAUGGUCAAAUUUUGGAUUAUCAUAAUUCACAGGCUUCAUUUCAACAGGUUUUGUUGGCUCUGUCCCGGCUGCUCCAAAAAUCACCUCUCCACUCUUAUCACGUUGUCGAUGCCUUGUUCUCUCUUUGUGGCUCUUGGGCCUGCCAGAAGGAGGCACCUCACCUGAUCCAUAGAAUUCUGCAUAUUCUUGUCGUUUUGAGGAACGGUGCUUGCUUGAUAAAGAAGGAUCCUUGAAACUGGAUGACUUGAUCUUUGGUGGCUUCAUUUCUGAAUAUUUAUCGCUAGUAUCAGGAGUAUGGACCUGCCGGGUUUCAGACAAAGGAACAGGAAUACUCUGCCUCUGCACUGUUGGGGGUUCAACUUCAUCCUCAGGCAUCCUUAGGGAAUCUUUCAAUGGUGUGAGGCCUUUGGAUCCACUUGAUCUGAACCAUGAAGGGAUUAAGAAGAGGAACAUGCUAGCCAAUGCCUCAAGUGCGAGCUUGGAAAGAUCAAUAAUAAGCUGUCCAAAAGAGGGCCACUUAGGAUCCUCUUUCAUGCUCUCUGUGAUAGGAGUCGGUUUCUCCAUACUUGGGUACUCCAUAAAUUCACCCUCUGAAUAUUGCUGCUGCAUUAAUACAGGCAUCAGAUUAAGACAAAUACAUGAAAGAUUAUCUACUGCAUUUGGAUAGGUAAGUAAGAAUGUGGAUUUGAAUUUGUGUUUCAAAUGAAAAGGCAUAAAAUUUUAAGACAAUGUCAACUUCAAAUACUCUCAUUUAAAAUCCAUGUCUAUCCGUCUGGAGCCUAAAGUGAAUGAGAAUUCAUAUAUUCAUUGAGGCAGAAAAAUAAAUGCAACCUUCCCAGAUCAACUUCUAAGAGUAAUAAAACUACAAAAAAAGCAUUGAAGCCUGAUUGAUGACAAAUCUCAUCCCAGCAUAAGAAAGGGUCAGAGCCGGUAGUAAUUUAUAUAUAAAAAAAAAAAAGGACAAAAGAAAAACACACCAUCGUCAAACUGCAUAUUUGGAUUUUAAAGUUAAUUUGAGCUUUUAAAAGCAAGUUUUGCUUGAAAAUAUUACCUUUCUGGUAGCCUAGUGUUAAAUCACAACUUUACACAUUUGGCUAUUAGAAGAGAGAAAAAUACAUUAUCCUUUGAUAGGCUACUAAAGGCAUUGGACGGUAAGGAUUUAAAUUUUUCACUUUCCAUAUCUAUUAGAGAUCAUAAAUAUUAUAUAUAAAAUUCCAAAGCAAAAAUUAUACCAUUCUUGAGAAGAAAGAAGGCCCAAAUCCUUGUUGAAGCAUACAUGUAACAUAUCCAGCCAAGACGACCCCAACAACCAUAAGGAAAUCUGCCAAAAGACCCGUUAAGUACUAAGUAAGCAAUAGACAAUCCCAAAGGGAAUUCAAAACCUACGUGAUGACGGUAUUCUCUUCAUUGCUUCUGAAUAAAAGCCAACAUACCUAUUUCCUGCAAUAUCUCACUUAUAGGCAUGUCCUCCAUAAUGGAGCACAGUCUCUAUGGAAAUUAUAUGCAAUAAAGAUGGUCUAAGUUCAUGAAAGAGAUCAUAUGGAUCUGAAUUCUUAAUAUGGUGUAAGUAAUUCGUCAAAAAAUUCAUAUUUAAUUAAAUUUUAUGGGACCAAACCUGUAGCAGCAAUUGAACUGGACUGAUAAUCACAAUCUUCUUGGUUGAGUGAGAUUUGUCGAAGAGCAGCAUUUCCUCUAUCAACAACUAACAGAGAACAUGUGGAGUGAACAUAUACCACAUCAAAAUCAGUUGAGAACUUUGCAUCCUCACUAGGUCCAUCCCUGUAGCCAGCAAUAUUUGAUUUCCCACCAGCAAUGGUUGUCACACCAGCAUCUCCAAUCUUUCUGAUGGCAAGAUUCAAGGUAUCAGCAACAUAUACAUUCCCUUUAUCAUCCAUGGUUACACCUCUGGGAUGAUUAAAACGAGCUUCAUUUGGUUUUCCAUCCACAUGCCCUUUAUAACCCUGAAAUGAACCAGCCACCAAUCUGGCCCUACUGUAUUGGGACAAUGGAGGGGUAAUUUUAACAAUGUUGCUAUUAACCUCAUCAACAGCAUAUAGUUCUCCAUCAUCAGAGACGCGGAUUUUGUAAGGAACAACUCCAAUUUCAUUUCCUUCCACAACAGUCUCCACUAAGUACCCAUCUUCAAAUUGAAGAACAUUCCCAUCUGACUGGGGUAUUUUGGAGGAUGAUCUGGCAGUCCAUUUGAGAAGAGAAGACAAGUGCUUAACUAAUGGCCCUGCAGGAGCAGCAUGAGCUUGAAAUUGAAAAGUAUAAGCAACCAAAAGUGUUAGUACAGAAGCAAAACAGAAAUGGGAUCUUCUCAUAGCUCUUCCGAAACAGGCUAAACUGAAGAAGAGAGAGAAAGAUCAGCUGAUAGUUAUAAAGGGUUAGAAUUUCAAGAAAGCAGCACUGGUUUGGUACCAGCCGUGCGUUCUGCUAGUACAGCAUUGGAAGCAGCCAGUGAAGGGGCAAAGAUAGCUUUCUCUUUCACUCUCUCUCCAAUUGCACGUACUUUUUUU